AUUAAUGAAAUUAAACCCUAGUUUCAUCAUAGCAAAAGCAGUUGUGCAAAAGAAUUAGAAGUUGCAUGUGAUUUUAAUUUUUAUUGUCUCUUAGAUUUAGCCAAUACAGCGCCCAAUAAUUGCUAAUCUGGUACCGAACCGACAGAUAUCUUAUCGUUUGGUUAACAAAUUAGUACAUUUAAAAGCUGAUAAUCGAUAAGUCGAACCAUUAAGCGUAAUUAUCCAUCCGAUCCGCCCAAUAAGCAGCCCUAAGUGCAGAUGCCUGCAGGUCAUGUUCAGGUCCAAACUUCAGCUAGUCACCAAGGGGGAGGUGCUGCUAAUGGAAGGACAUAUCAGCUUGAUGCUACCUUUCCUAGAAGCACCAACAUGACUAUGAUGACCAAGUUGGAGUUCCCACGUUUCAAUGGCACCAACUUGAGGGCUUCGAUGUGUAAGGUAGAGCAUUUUUUCUCUUUUGAUGAAGUAGAAUGCACUCAGCGGGUUAAGGUAGCUUCUAUACAUUUUGAUGACAUAGCUAUAGAAUGACAUCUUGCUUAUUUAAGAAGUCGAUCACAUUUAUCUUAUCCUACCUGGAAAGAGUAUGUGUAUGCUUUGAUGGAUAGGUUUGUGUAUUGAGUAUAGAGACCCCAUGGCUGAGCUUAAGUUAUUUAAGUAGAUUGUAUUUUUAGAAGUCUACUGGAUCAUGACUAGGCUGAUUAUCCUCCUUGAGUAUACCAUUACUACUUUUAUUACUGGCUUAAACCUGAGAUCUAUUUCACUGUCAAAAAUCACAGACCAUACUUACUACCUCAAGCACCAACUAGCUAGAAACACUAAGGCUCAGGUGAAUGCACAACAGAAGUUAACCAAGGCUUCCUUGUACGGUAGUGGGUACUCUCAGUCAAGGGGUGCUUCCUCUAGUUCAAUGUCUAUAAGUGUAGGGAACAAAAAGGAAGAUGUCUAGUUAAGGGAUCAUCCAAUUGCCAAUAUAGACAGGAACACUACUAGGAGACUUAUUCCAACUAAGAUGAGUGAGAAAAGCUAGAAGAGGAUGUGCUUCUUUUGUGAUGAGAAACUUGUUCCAGGUCAAAUACAAUUCAACUAAGUAGUUGUAUCUAUUAUAAGUUCAGGAAAAUACUAAAGUUGUGGUAGAAGAAGUGCCAGAAGAUCAAGAAUGGAAGAAAUGGAUCAAGAGCAGGAGGAAGCCUGUGACAUCUCAGUUCAUGCCCUAAAUAAAAUCAAUGGGUUUCUUAUAGGGGUGACAGAUAUUGUGAAAAGAGUACCUUGAGUAUUCUCAUUAACCUUGGCAGUACUCACAAUUUGAUUAAUGAAGAGGUAACAAGAGGAAUAGGGGGUAAUAGUAUGGCAAUAACUCCUCAGAAUGUUAGUGUAGCUAAUGGUAGCAAUGCAGACUUCUGAGUUGUAUAAGGGGCUCACGUGGUUGUUACAAGGAGUGACAUUCACAUCUGACUUGUUCAAGUUACUUUUGAGGUCAGUAAAUAUGAUUUUAGGAGUAUAGUGACUAUGGCCUUUGUGGGAUCUCAAGCUUAACUUCAAGGAAUUAACCCUUGGGUUCAUUUAUCAGGGAGGAGAGGUGGUGUCGCAGGGAACCACUAACAAGACAAAGACUAUAAAUGCAAAAACGUUGGACAAGUUGGAACGAGAAAGAGCACAUUCAUGAUCAGAGUCCUACCUGGUAAGAGUGAAGAGGACCUCCAUAUAGUUGAGAUUUUCUCAAAUGUUGGCCUUAACAGAGGAGAAUAAGCAGUAAUUUGAAGAACUAAAAGGGUAACUACCCUCCGGGGGAUCCUUUGAUCACAUGAUUCCUUUGCAAGUUGGAACCAAUUCCAUUGAUGUCAGGCCCUACAGUACUCCUCUAAGCAAAAAUAUAAUAUUGAAGGCUUGGUGAAGAACAUGCUUGACCAGGGAAUAAUGUAGCCCAGUUCCAGUCCAUAUGCCUCUCUAGGUGUAUUAGUCGGAAAGAAAGAUGUGUCCUCGAGACUCUGUGUUGAUUAUAGGGCACCAACAAGACUGUCGUUAAGGACAAAUUCCUAAUUACAAUAAUUGAAGAGUUGUUUGAUAAACUAGGAGGGUCCAUGAUCUACUCCAAACUUAAUCAGGUCAUCACCAGAUAAGGAUACAUGUAGUAUAUGACCAAAAGACAACUUUCAGGACUCAUUCAAGCCAUUUUGAGUACUUAGUAAUUCCAAUUGGGCUUACUAGUGCUCCAUUAUGUUUCAAGGGACUCAUGAACCAUGUGUUCAAGGCAAUUUGGAGGAAGUGAAUCUUAGUCCUUUUUGACGAUAUUUUGGUAUUUAGUAGCAGCCUUAAAGAGUACUUGAAACACCUAAGGAUAAAAUUUGAUCUAUUGGUCAAACAUCAAUUAUUUGUACAAAAGUCAAAUGUAAAUUUAGGACCAAUAGGGUGGAGUAUGUAGGAUAUUUUAUAACUGUCGAAGGGGUUUUCACUAAUCCUAAGAAUAUAAUUGUUGUUCAAAUAUGGUAUGUGACAAGAACUAUGAAAGAAUUGAAGGAUUUUCUUUGAUCGGCUGGCAACUAGAGAAGGUUCAUAAGAAGGUACGGGAUCAUUAGUAAAUCACUCAUAGAUCUACAGAAAUAGGAAGGAUUCAAUUGGACAUGGAGUGAUACAGAGGCUUAGAGAAACUGAAUGUGGCUCUAGUGUCAGCUCCACUGUUAGCUCUCCCAAAUAGUUUAUUGCUAUUUGUAGUAGAGACUGAUGCAUGUGACACAUGACUUGGUGCAGAUGAGAAGGUCAUUCAAUAGCCUACAUAAGCAAAGGGUUAUCUGGGAAGCAUUAGAGUCUAUCUGUGUAUGACAAAGAGUUGCUUGACUUAGUCAUGGCAAUAACUAAGCAGUCUCAGUAUCUCAAGGGCAGACCUUAAUUUUAUGGUGAGAACUAAUCAAAAAGCCCUAAAAUUCCUCCUAGAUCAAAAAAUACACACCAACUCCUAGAUGAAAUUGAUAGCCAAUCUCAUGCAAUAUGACUUUGUUAUUGAUUACAAAAAAAGGAUAGAAAACUAAGCAAUUGACUCAUUAUCCAGGUUGCCAUUAGUUGAGCUAGCUGACAUGGUUAUGGCACCUCAUGAUCCUAACUUAUUUCAGAAAAUUAAGAAUAGUUGGUGUAAGGAUGUGGAAAUGGCUAAGCUUAUUACCAAAAUCAAGGAUCAACUAAAUGAUAAGAAGGGAUAGACUCUUGUCAAUCAUUAACUUAGAAGAUAUGGAAGGCUAGUGGAUGGUAAUAAUCCAGUUUUAAGGAAGGCAAUAAUACACCUAUGGCAUGAUGGCCCCAUUGGAGGCCGUUCAGUCAUGGACAAUACUCAGAGAAGAUUGGCCACUCUUUUCUGUUGGAAAGGUUUGGAGGAUGAUGUGGUGACAUGACUAAACAAUGUACAAUAUGCCAAAGGAACAAAUAUGAUAAUUCAGUAUGUUAUGGUCGGCUUCAACCCCUAGUGAUUCCUGAAUUGGCUUGGUCAAGCAUAAGCAUAGAUUUCAUUGAUGGAUUGACCACUAUCUUGGUGGUAGUUGGUAGGUUAACCAAGUAUGACCAUUUUCUUGGUUUAACUCAUCCUUUUACUGUACCAUCAGUAGCUCAGUUAUUCCUUGAUCAUAUUUUCAAACUACAUGGGAUAAUAGAAAAUAUUAUUACUGAUAGAGGUCCCAUCUUCAUCAGUAGGUUCUAGUAGGGACUCUUCUCACUACAGGGUAUAACUUUGAGUACAUUAUCAGCUUAUCAUCCUCAGUCUGAUGGUCAAAAUGAAGUGUUAGAGCAGAAUAUUGGAGACAUACUUGAGGUGUUAUUGCUUUGACAAUCAGAAGGAUUGGGUGAUACACUUGCCCUUGGAUGAAUGGUGGUACAAUAUCAUCUUUCACUCAACAAUUCACUCAACUCCUUAUGAGGCUCUAUAAAGGCAACCUCCUUACAUUCAUUAGUCCUAUUUUCCAAGUGAAUCCACAUAAGAUGAAGUUGAUCGUAGCCUUACUAACAUGGAGCUUAAGUAUGAGAAUCUUAAGUAUCAUUUUACGGAGCCAAACAUAGGAUGACAGAUUUGGCUGAUAAAUAUAGGAGUGACAGACAAUUUCAGGUUGGAGAUUGAGCCUACCUAAAAAUUCAAGCAACUCUAAUUAUCUACUCAAACCUUCUCAAAAUUGUCAGCCAAUUAUUAUGGCCCCUAUCAGAUCCUGCAGAAGUCAUCCUCCAACAACAGGGAUUUCAAGCUCAAAUUGUAUAGAGCUCGGGAGAUAUUAGGCAAACGAAUGAUUAAAAGGGGAAACAAGGUAUUACCACAGAUAUUGGUGCAAUGAAAGACUCCGCUAAAGAAUCAGGCCACUUGGGAAGACUAUGCUACAAUGAAGAUGAGGUUUCUUGAGCUCCUUCCUUAAGGUCAAGGAAGUUUUCAAGGAAAGGGUGAUGAUAUAAUUUGAUUUGAGAUCUGCUGUGAAAAAUGGUACUUCGUGCUUCUGGAGUUAUGUUUACCCUUUGGUGUUUCUUCAUUUUAGUUUAGCCCCUUUGAUUUCCUUAAAUGUUGCCAUCUAGUCCUAGUCAAAAGUUGUGAGGAGAAUGUACGUACUUUUUCCUUUUAUUUGUAUUUGUAUUUGUUCAGCUAGGGUAUAAUAAGUUGCAAGCCUUUGCAUUAACAGUUAUCAAUGAAAUCAAACCCUAGUUUUAUCUUA